rnacentral:rRNA from 1 species
AUACGAAGGGACCUAGCGUAGUUCGGAAUUACUGGGCUUAAAGAGUUCGUAGGUGGUUGAAAAAGUUGGUGGUGAAAUCCCAGAGCUUAACUCUGGAACUGCCAUCAAAACUUUUCAGCUAGAGUAUGAUAGAGGAAAGCAGAAUUUCUAGUGUAGAGGUGAAAUUCGUAGAUAUUAGAAAGAAUACCAAUUGCGAAGGCAGCUUUCUGGAUCAUUACUGACGCUGAGGAACGAAAGCAUGGGUAGCGAAGAGGAUUAGAAACCCUUGUAGUCC